rnacentral:rRNA from 1 species
GAUGAACGCUGGCGGCGUGCCUAAUACAUGCAAGUCGAGCGGACAGACGUGUUGCUUGCCUCUCUGACGUUAGCGGCGGACGUGUGAGUAACACGCGGAUACCCUCCCUAUAAGAAUGGGAUCGCUUCGGGAAACCGGAGCUAAUACCAGAUAAUGUAUUGAACCGCAUGGUUCAAUAGUUCAAGAGGGUUUUGCUGCCACUGAUAGAUGAAUCCGCGCGGCAUGAGCUAGUUGGCAAGGUAAAGGCUUACCAAGUCGACGAUGCGGAGCCGGCCUGAGAGGGUGAUCGGCCACACUGGAACUGAGACACGGUCCAGACUCCUACGGGAGGCAGCAGUAGGGAAUCUUCCGCAAUGGGCGAAAGCCUGACGGAGCAACGCCGCGUGAGUGAUGAAGGUCUUCGGAUCGUAAAACUCUGUUAUUAGGGAAGAACAAAUGUGUAAGAAACUAUGCACGUCUUGACGGUACCUAAUCAGAAAGCCACGGCUAACUACGUG